rnacentral:misc_RNA from 1 species
CGCACAUUGCGCCCUUUGGUAUUCCGAGGGGCAUGCCUGUUCGAGCGUCAUUACAACUCUCAAGCAUAGCUUGGUCUUGAGUCUCGCUUCGAGAGAAGUGUACUUAAAAAGCAGUGGAUGUUGUACGUGACUUGGAGUGUAGUAAAUUUUCUCCCGCUCUGAAGCUCACGCUGCAACUCCCAAAACUUCCUAUCGAAAAAUUGACCUCGAAUCAGGUAGGGAUACCCGCUGAACUUAA